rfam:Triticum urartu cultivar G1812 contig143142, whole genome shotgun sequence.
GUAGUACUCUCUCCGUCCGGAAAUACUUGUCCUAUAAAUAGAUAAAAUGGAUGUAUCUAUAACUAAAAUAGGUCUAGAUACAACCAUUUCGAGGACAAGUAUUUCCGGACGGAGGGAGUACUAU